rnacentral:tRNA from 1 species
GGUUGAGUAGCUCAGUGGCAGAGCACUUGCCUAGCAGGUGUGGGGUCCUGGGUUCCAUCCCAGCUCCACAA